CGCCGCAUCAUCUCGCGUGAGUGCCGGGGAGCGGGUCGGCCUGAUCUCUGCUUCCACAGAGCUGCGAAAAAGCAGGAGGCUGCUGGAAAGGCUGUGGUCCAGGAGCAAUUGUCGGGUGAAUGGACUGCUCUAGCAUUUACUGCUACUUGGCCUGAGGUUGCAGACAAGUCUGCAGGUGCCCUCUGUGCCCAUCCAGCAGUUAUCUUCUGAAGACUGCAGCGCUCAUCCUGCCACUAGGGACUGGACUGCAGCUCCCUGCUCAGGCCACUAAACAGAUCAGCCCAGCAAUAAACGAGUUUACAACUUGCUGGAGAGCCUCAUUCAGGUUGCCCUGAGAAAUACAUGAUGUCCAGUGAAGUGAAUGACCCUGAGGAGCCGACACCUGAUCUGCUCACUACAACCUCCCCUGUUGGACAGCAACUACUUUCUUGGAGGAAUAUGUGUCUAGUGACCACGAAAGAAUGGCCGAGACAGCCCACUUGCUCUGGAGCCUGCAGUUGGGAUCCUGGGAAAACCAGCAGACACUGUGAAAGGUUACUGACGGAGCAAAUCAUCAGCAGGGGUGACAUGCUUAUCAUUCAAUCACAAUCUUCCCAAAAUCAUUCCUUCUUGACCUUUAAUUCACGGACUAAAAUGAGACAAAGUGAGUGACCAGAAAAAAUGUCUGUAAUGAUAACUAAAAAUAUUUUUGGAGGAUAUGGCCUAGAGUGUUAAACAAGGUGAAAGGACAAUGCUUUCUCCUUGCUUUAUCUCCCUCUCUGUCUUGAACAUAAGGUAAUAUGGUACAGCACACACACACACACACACACACACACACACACACACAGCUUAGAAAUUAUACACAGUUAAAGUCUAGGGUAGGAAUUGUGCAUGAAUGCACAGCUAAUAUCAACCAUAUUGAUAAUGCUCCAAACAUGUUUUUAUGUUGGUUGGUGGACCUAUGUGUAUUUGUUUUACUAUUAUGUACACAACGUAGGUAAACACAUAAAAUAAUUAAAUGUUAUAUCAGUUAUCAAAUAUAUCUAUUUGAUAACAAGUGUCAAUAGAUUGAAAUGGUUG
rnacentral:lncRNA from 1 species